rnacentral:ncRNA from 1 species
AUGAUCAAUAAAGUGUUUUUCUUCGCAUUCUUUUUUACCUUCCCCUGAUUGGGAGGCGUUUCGUCGUGUGAUAAAGAAUGCGAAGACGAACAACAAAGCCUCCCAGCGGGAGGCUUUUUUUAU